rnacentral:rRNA from 1 species
UGGGGAAUAUUGCACAAUGGGGGAAACCCUGAUGCAGCGACGCCGCGUGAGCGAAGAAGGCUUUCGAGUCGUAAAGCUCUGUCCUAUGAGAAGAUAUUGACGGUAUCAUAGGAGGAAGCCCUGGCUAAAUACGUGCCAGCAGCCGCGGUAAUACGUAUGGGGCGAGCGUUUUCCGGAAUUAUUGGGCGUAAAGGGUACGUAGGCGGUUUUUUAAGUCAGGUGUCAAAGCGUGGAGCUUAACUCCAUUAAGCACUUGAAACUGAAAGACUUGAGUGAAGGAGAGGAAAGUGGAAUUCCUAGUGUAGCGGUGAAAUGCGUAGAUAUUAGGAGGAAUACCGGUGGCGAAGGCGACUUUCUGGACUUUUACUGACGCUCAGGUACGAAAGAGUGGGGAGCAAACAGG